CACAUUCAUCUUUUUCUUUCGACCUUGAAAUAUUUUCACCUCCUUGUUCAUAUUCAUUUUCAUCUUCUUCUUUUUUGCUUGAAACUUCAACCUUUCUUGAUGGACAAAUGGAUUGAUUUGUCAUACAGUAAUCUUUCUUCUUCAUCAAAAGUAGGAAUGGUUCGAAGGUUAGGGCUACUAUAUCGGAUGGACACCAAAAAAUGAUGAAUGGAUGGUUUCCACUCUUUCUUCUCUUUCGUAUCUUCAAAUUUCUCUGUUGGGUUUCUUUCUCUCCAAAUCUCCAUUGCAUGGAGGAUGAAAAUGAGAGCAAAGGUGGUGUUGGGUUCAAUGAUAGAAAGAAAAAGAUUUUACCGUGAAAACCUAAGGUAACGUAUUUCUAUAUUACCAACCAAAGUAAGGCUUUUGGAUUGUUGAAGUUGAUGUAAAAUGUCAAAUUUUUUGACUUUAUUUUUGCUUACAUGUGAUUUUAUUUUCAUAGUUUUGUGGGUUUGUAAUGUUUGUAUAGGAC